AGCAGCCGCGGUAAUUCCAGCUCCAAUAGCGUAUAUUAAAGUUGUUGCAGUUAAAAAGCUCGUAGUUGAAUUUCGGAGUUUAUCGGUUGGUCGGGCUUCACUGUCCGCACUGGCCUGAUGGAUUCCUACCUUCUGAAUAACCAGCAUGCUAUUAAUUUAGUGCGUUGGGGAAGCAGAGCUAUUACCUUGAAAAAAUUGAGUGCUUAAAGCAGGCUUAUGCUUGAAUAGAUUAGCAUGGAAUAAUAAAAUAGGACGGCUUGGUUCUAUUUUGUUGGUUUCUAGGAUCACCGUAAUGAUUAAUAGGGAUAGUUGGGGGCAUUAGUAUUCAAUUGUCAGAGGUGAAAUUCUUGGAUUUAUUGAA
rnacentral:rRNA from 1 species